AUUGAACGCUGGCGGCAUGCCUUACACAUGCAAGUCGAGCGGCAGCGCGGGGGCAACCCUGGCGGCGAGCGGCGAACGGGUGAGUAAUGCAUCGGAACGUGUCCCGUAGUGUGGGAUAACCCGGCGAAGGCCGGGCUAAUACCGCAUAUGCUCUACGGAGGAAAGGGGGGGAUCCGCAAGGACCUCUCGCUAUGGGAGCGGCCGAUGUCCGAUUAGCUAGUUGGCGGGGUAAAAGCCCACCAAGGCGACGAUCGGUAGCUGGUCUGAGAGGAUGAUCAGCCACACUGGGACUGAGACACGGCCCAGACUCCUACGGGAGGCAGCAGUGGGGAAUUUUGGACAAUGGGGGAAACCCUGAUCCAGCCAUGCCGCGUGCGGGAAGAAGGCCUUCGGGUUGUAAGCCGCUUUUAGCCGGGAAGAAAAGGCGGCCCCUAACACGGGUCGUUUUUGACGGUACCGGCGGAAUAAGCACCGGCUAACUACGUGCCAGCCGCCGCUGUAAGAC
rnacentral:rRNA from 1 species